GAUGAAGAACGCAGCGAAAUGCGAUAAGUAAUGUGAAUUGCAGAAUUCAGUGAAUCAUCGAAUCUUUGAACGCACAUUGCGCCCGCCAGUAUUCUGGCGGGCAUGCCUGUUCGAGCGUCAUUUCAACCAUCAAGCCCCAGGCUUGUGUUGGGGACCUGUGGCUGCCGCAGGCCCUGAAAACCAGUGGCGGGCUCGCUGUCACACCGGGCGUAGUAGAUUUUAUCUCGCUCAGGGCGUGCUGCGGGUUCCGGCCGUUAAAAAGCCUUUUUUACCCAAGGUUGACCUCGGAUCAGGUAGGAAGACCCGCUGAACUUAAGCAUAUCAAUAAGCGGAGGA
rnacentral:misc_RNA from 1 species